UUUCAAUGUAUGAUUAUAUAAUUUGCAUUAGAUUUUAUAUAGCUGAUUUAAGUAAAUAAAUAAUCUUUCAGCUUAUUUGUUGAAUUAAAAAAAAAAGGUUUACUUUAUUAUCUCCAAAGGAACAACAGUUUAUCUUUCCAUAAAAUAACAUGUAACAUCCAUAGUAACAUCCAAUUCAAUCACUUGCAUUUUUCAAUCUCUUGCGCUUUAGUUAACAAUCUGUUGCACGUUGUUAAUGGGUUCAAAUUUCACACAAAUUGCUAAUUUGAUGUAACAAAUGUCAAUUAUUUAAUUUAAGUAAAAAGGUGGCAUAUAUUUAAAAGGAGAAUAGUUUUAAUAUUUAAUAUCUACAGCAAAAACAUAUUUUGAUAACUUGAUUUGCGGUUAAAAGUUUAGGUGCGUGAAUCGCCACAGGUUGUAACCAAAUUCAGCCUUUUUACUUGUCUUCUUUCAGACGUAUUUCAGUCGAAUAUCAAAGGAUGUUUCGUGUAAACAUUUAUUUAAAAUUUUGAUUCCAUGGAAUUGUCUGCCUUGAGCAAUUAUAUAGAAAUGGCAUAUGCUGCUUUUUUUUUAUUUUCAUCAAAUUGUCAGCAGAAAUGUUCUCCUGUGGGACUGUAGUCAAAAUGGUGCAAUAGUAUUGGCUUAUGCAAGGCACCUGAUUUAAUUUUUAAGUGUGUUUUGCCAGAUUGCAAUGUGGUUAAGUCUAUUGUGUCAUGAAGUUGAACUGACAUGUCAUGUCAUGACAUGAAGUGGAGCUUAUUAUCAAGUCACAAAUCACACUGCAUAUAAGCUUGAAUAAAGGCAUAAUACGUGAACUGUUUCCUGUGCAUAGAAAAAAUUUUUCAUUCAGUUUUCAUUCAGUCUCUGACGAUUGUUUUUUCAGGCACUUCAUAUGCAUCAAUCUCGAAAAAGGGACAAAGGCCAACCGGGGAAAGGUCGAAGAGGACAGGGGCGAUUGUCCAGCAAAAAAACCAAAGUGAAUGCACAUCUCCAUACUAUUGAAGAACCUGAUCGACUUUCAAUGGGACUUCACAUAGAGAUACCAGUUGGAAUACUUAAUGAGACAACAUGCAGCCAAGUCAUCCUGGUUAAGUGGGUGAAAAAUAACAAAGUCAUUCACCCAGGACUAAGACUCUUUUGAAAAGGUACACAUGCCUCUUCACUGGAAAGUUAAACAAAUUUUUUUUUGUUUUUUUCACUAAAAUGUUUUUCACUAAAAUGUUUCACAAAAUUUGUUGGAUGUUCUUAGAAGUGCAGAUCAAAAAAAAAAUCCCAAAACAUUCAAAACAUUUUCAUUGUGUUUAAUCUUAGGUUGUCAUGUUUGUAACUUAUUUUGUUAUGUUUGUCUUAUUUAUUUAUUUAUUUUUAAUUGCGAUUGUCAUUGUCUUUUUGUUUGUUUUUUUUGUUUUUUUUGUUAGCCAAAAUCAGCUUUCUCCAGUUUGUUACCAAUUUAUAGUUUUGAAUCCUUGUUAAAUGUUGACUGCACUUUUAAAUAAACCUUUUUUAUUUUAUUUAUAUCUUUUUAGUCUUUGAUUUUUUUUUUUUAGAUCUUUCAAAAUAAUUUGUUUUAAGUAGAUGUGUGUAGCCCACAGAACAAUAAUGUUCUACUGUAAAUCUAAUUAUAACAUCAUUGACAGUAAACUGCUGGUGACUGCUGAGAGCACAUUACUGUUUUUUUUUUAUUAAUUUUUUUUUUACAGAAUUUGUUUUACAUUGUGCCCAUCCCUUACCAAAAUGAAAUAUUCAUAUCAAUAUUUAAGCCCAAAAACCAUUACUUUCAUGGUGCUACUUGGGUCUAAAACCUCCACAUUUAAUGGUGCCCUGUUUGAUGCCCCCUAAGACUGAAAUCACUACAUUUAAUGGUGCCUGUGUCAGGCUAUCUUACAUUGAAACCACUACAUCUAGUGGUGUCUCGUUUGAGGUUACCUUACUUUAAAAUCAUUACAAUGUAACAGAAAUAAGUAAUUAAUAAUUAUUUUUCAAAAAAAAAAAAAAAGUUUGGGGAAAAUAGAAUAUUACAUGUUAUUAUGAAUUAAUAAAUUAACAAGUUUGAUAAAUAAAACAGUAUUCAAAUUUAAACAUUUAAUCUUUAAAUGAGUGUAUUCUUUAAAAAAGUUUUUAAGUACCUGAAUUCAUGUCUCUGAUGCUGUUCCAUAGUGAUGCUUCCAGAACAGCAAAAACAUUUGAUUAAUAAUCUGUAAAGCAUGACCUUUAUAUAUAGAUGGGAGGGAUCAAUACAUUAUUUAAUCACGCUCUUCUUAUAAAGUGAUGCUAUUUCCGAUUUAUGAUGAAAAUAUUUCUCAAGUUGUUUCCUUAUGAUUCACCAAAAACAUGGCCAAAUAUGUGGCCAAUCAUUUUUUAAUUAACUCGUGAUACUAGUAGUGUUUUCCUUGGUAAUGCUAUGCCAACUGCAACAUUCUAGAAAAUUCUGUGCUUCCUUAUGUUUUCUGAAUGACGAUUCUAACUCCUGUUUAGGUUAAUUAAAGAAGGGAAUGUUGUUUGAUGUUUUUAUUGCUGCAAAGAAGACAAAAGAAAACUGGUUUACUCCUGACAUGCACAUGUGUGAAAAACAUUUUGAAUUAAUAUCCUCCUUAAUAUAGUGACUUGUGAAUAUACAACAGCACAAAUGGACAACACUGUAAAAAAUAAGUGUAAUUUUAACUAAAAUUUUGUAAAAACACUAUGGAAAAAAAAAACUGUUAAAAGGUUAACAGUAAGUGUGGCAAGGGGGAGCGUGGUUUAGCGAACCCAGGUGGGAACUUUAGGUCUAUCUAUUUUUUCCUUUAAAGAAAAUUGCACGCAUACGCAAACACACACAUAAUCAGCAGUGUUGUGUUUUUUUUUUUUUUAUAGAAACCAAAAGCUUCACUGGAUAGGCUACUCUCUAUCUCUGUGUGCUCUCUCCCUCACUUGCUCUCUCGUUAUCAUUAUAUUCUAAUUAAUUCAAAUAAAUGUAAUCUUACCUACUACUUUAUUUCACUUCAGAUUUCUAGUUCUAACGAGUGUAGAUACAACAACAAAAGCAAUUUUCAACACAAGUGAAUCUGAACAGUAGAAGCGUGUAAAAAAAAGUUGUUGAAGUAGCAAUGUUAUGGAAAAACAAAUUGAGUUGAGACAUGCACGAAGCGUUUUGGCAACACUAUCAGCUGUUUCCUUAUCAUCUGGGUUGUUCUCUACAAUUACAAUUCUAGAGUCAUUUUGAUAAAAUAUUUUGUUUGCUUUAGGAGACAACAUGCAGCCAGGUCAUCAUGGUUAAGUGGGUGUAAAAUGAAAAAGUCAUUAACCUAGGACUAAGACUCUUUUGAAAAGGUACACAUGCCUCCUCACUGGAAAGUUUAAAAAAGGUGUGGAAAAAACUCUUAACAAAUGUUUUUUUUUUUCUUUUUCUCACUAAAAUGUUUUUCACUAAAAUGUUACACUAAAUUUGUUGCGUGUUCUUAGAAGUGCAGAUUAAAAAAAAAUAAAAAUCCCAAAACAUUCAAAAUAUUUUCAUUGUAUUUAAUCUCAGGUUGUCAUGUGUGUAACUUAUUUUGUUAUGUUUGUCUUAUUUAUUUUUUAUUGCCAUUGCCAUUGUUUUUAUUUAUUUAUAAAAAAAUUUUGUUAGCCAAAAUUUUUGUUUGGAGUUUUCUCCAAUUUGUUACCAUUUUAUAGUUUUGAAUCCUUUUUGAAUGUUCACUGCUUUUUUUUUUUCAUUUAUAUCUAUCAAGUGUUUGCUAGUUCUUUUUUUUUUUUUUUUGAUCUUUCAAAAUAAUAUAUUUUAAGUAGAUGUGUGUAGCCCACAGAACAAUAAUGUUCUACUUUCAAUCUAAUUAUAACAUCACUGAUGACUUUAAAUUCACUCUCAUAGGCAUAAAAUAGCAUUGGAUUUAAAAUAAAUCUAAAAAAGGUUAUAAAUAAAUUAAAUAAGUAAUGAGUCUUCAAUCUAAUUGAGUCUUCAAUCUAUCCAUUAUUUUAUGCCUCUGUACAAUAAAGAGUCUAUAUAAAGUAACCAUAAUGAUGCUGUAAAUUGAAUAUCACAGAAAUAUACUGCAUUUAAUUUUAACAUAAAAAAGCUGUUAAAUAAAUCACAGUAUGAAUACUGUAAAAUUACAGUAAACUGCUGGUGACUGUGUCCAGUAUAUCAAUAUUUAAGCCCAAAAACCAUUACUUUCAUGGUGCUACUUGGGUCUAAAACCUCCACAAUUAAUGGUGCCCUGUUUGAUGCCCCCUAAGACUGAAAUCACUUCAUUUAAUGGUGCCUGUAUGAGGCUAUCUUACAUUGAAACCACUACAUUUAGUGGUAUCUCGUGUGAGGUUACCUUACUUUAAAAUCAUUACAAUGUAACAGAAAUAAGUAAUCAAUAGUUAAUUAAUAAAAUAAUUAUUUAAAAAAAAAAAAAAGUUUGGGGAAAAUAGAAUAUUACAAUUUAUUAUGAAUUAAUAAAUCAAUAAGUUUGAUAAAUAAAACAGUAUUCACAUUUAAAAAUGUAAUCUUUAAAUUAGGGUAUUCUUUAAAAAAGUUUUUAAGUACCUGAAUUCAUGUCUCUGUCGCGGUUCCAUAGUGAUGCUUCCAGAAUAGCAAAAAAAUUUGAUUAAUCAUCUGUAAAGCAUGACCUUUAUAUAUAGAUGGGAGGGAUCAAUACAUUAUUUAAUCACGCUCUUAAAGUGAAUUAAGAUUUAUGAUGAAAAGAUUUCUCAAAUUGUUUCCUUAUGAUUCACCAAAAACAUGGCCAAAUAUGUGGCCAAUCAUUUUUUUAAUUAACUCGUGAUACUAGUAAUGUUUUCCUUGGUAAUGCUAUGCCAACUGUAUCAUUUUAGAAAAUGCUGUGCUUCCUUAUGUUUUCUUAAUGACGAUUCUAACUCCUGUUUAAGUUAAUUAAAGAAGGGAAUGUUGUUUGAUGUUUUUAUAGCUGCAAAGAAGACAAAAGAAAACUGGUUUACUCCUGACGUGUGCAAAAACAUUUUGGAUUAAUAACCUCCUUAAUAUAGUGACUUGUGAAUAUACAACAGCACAAAUGAACAACACUGUAAAAAAUAAGUGUAAUUUUAACAGUAAAAUUGUAUAAAAAUGCUGUGAAAAAAAAAACUGUUAAUAGGUUAUCAGUAAGUGUGGCAAGGGGGCGCACACAACCCUGCACACCUUUUGAUUUAAGUUGCAAAUAAAAGCAGCCAGUAGUCAAAGUCGACCCUGCUGUCUUUCCUCCUAUACAAUGAACAUUGUUAAGCCCUGUUCACACCAAGAACGAUAACUAUAAAGAUAACUAUAAAGAUAAUGAUAUUAGCGUCCACACCAGCAAACUAUAUUGUCUGUUUAUUCUGAGCGCACAUGCGUCUGCCGCUUUAAAUCCUUGAGCUUGUUACUGCAGAAUGGAUUCUGAUUGGAUGUCAGUGUUUAUAUCGUUCAUCAGCUGGAAAAAAAUAGUUCUGAAAAUGAUUCCAAUGAUACCGUUUCUCUAUGCCUUUAUCAUUAUAGUUGUAGUGUGGACUCUGCUAUUCUUUAAUAUUGAAAACGAUUUUUAGAACUACAUCUUUUUAGUUAUCUUUAUAGUUAUCUUGCUUGGUGAGAAUGGGCCUUUACACAGGUGCCGAAACCCGCGAACCUCUCCCAUCAGCUUCUCUCUAUCCUUCUUUUCUGCUCCUUCUCUCUUUCGGCCUGUCCCUUUACCCAGGUCCCGUCCGCCCG
rnacentral:lncRNA from 1 species